GGCGGACGUGGCCAAGUGGAUUAAGGCAGUAAAA
rnacentral:tRNA from 3 species